rnacentral:tRNA from 2 species
GCGGUAGUAGCUCAGGGGUAGAGCGCCAGCUUCCCAAGCUGGGUGUCGCGGGUUCAAGUCCCGUCUACCGCU